CUUUUUUGGAUUUGUUGAUAAUUAGAGAAAACUCUAGUAUUAUUACUGACUGGUACACUAAAGCAAUAAGCACUAACAGAUGCAUAAAUUUUUACAGCAGUCAUAGCAUGCAACAAAAAACUAAUAUAAUGGAGAAUUUAAUUAAAAGAGCUUUAAAACUGAGCAACAAAAAGUUUCAUAGGAAGAACUUAGAUAAAGUUGAAAAUAUUUUGAAGCAGAAUAACUAUCCUACAUACUUAGUCAAAAGAAUAAUAAAUAAACACACGUCCAACCGAAGUCAUAUAGUUAAUGUUCCUUCUAACUCGUCUAUUUCUUCCUACUUUAGGUUUCCGUACUUACCUGGUCUUUCUCACAGAAUAAAUAAAAUAUUUAAGGAGUUGAAUGUCAAGUGUGCCUUUUACAACUUAUUCACCACAAAGAGAUUUUUCACAAAUUUGAAAUUUAAAACACCUUAUAAUUUAGAAUCAGGAGUAGUAUAUAAGAUACCCUGUGCUAAUUGUAACAAGUGUUACAUUGGCCAAACAAAACAGUAUUUACGCGAUAGGAUGAAACAACAUAAAUAUGAUAGUGAAAAUAUUGCAAAUUUUAACAAAACUGCUUUAACUUUACAUCAAAUGACUACGGGCCAUAAAUUUAAUUUUGAAGAUGUAAAAAUUCUUGAUAGAGAAGAGGUUGGUUAUAGACGUAAUAUAAGCGAGAUGAUACACAUAAAAAGAAAUUAUACCGUCAAUCAUAGAGAAGAUGUGCAACACCUAAGCAUGAUCUAUAAUAAUAUACUUAGAAAGUAAUAAGUAAUGGCUGGCCUCGUCAAUAGUGUUAAGACCAUUCCUGAUCAAUAUUUUGUAACCUUAUGUUGAUGUCAUUAUCAUAAAUAUAGAAACGGAUAAAGUGAUGGGAUUGUAUGUCUGCUCUCCAGGAGAUUUUGAUUUCUUUGUUGAAUCCUAAUGUUUUUAAAAAGCGUACAAUAUUGUUCUCGUAACUAGCCUUGAAAAAGAAACGAUUUGUUUCGAAACGUCGGCAUUGUUACACAGUGAACAAUAGAUAAUAAACAGUGUCCAACACU